CCAUAUGCUAUCUUCUCCUGUACACCUUAGACCCAGAAUUCUUAUUUAGAUCUCAAAACAGUGCAGUCACAUGAAAAAGAAAGUUUUCAAACAAAGUACACCCUCACUGCUUCCAUAGUAAUUAAGAGGGUAAUUGAUUAACCUGAUUAACAGAUCAUUCACAGGUGUGUGUGAGCAAUCAGAUGUGUGUUGACACAAUGCCACGGUCUUCCCAAGAGUGAACGCCCCAGCAAAUUCACUCCAAGAAACAACAGCCUGCUGACACGAAUGGACCAGUCAGAGUGGAUUAACAAUCCCACCACUAAAAGCAAAUCUCGCUCUCCUAAGUUUUAAAUGAACUCACCCACUGCCAUGUCCAGCUUCACACCAAUCCAGAUCCCCUUGGCAAACUCCACCCCUCCCACAUAGUGGACCGUUCCUCUCCUCUUCCCC